rnacentral:rRNA from 1 species
AAACGAUGGCUAAUACCGCAUAAUCUCUUCGGAGCAAAGAGGGGGACCUUCGGGCCUCUCGCGUCAAGAUUAGCCCAGGUGGGAUUAGCUAGUUGGUGAGGUAAUGGCUCACCAAGGCGACGAUCCCUAGCUGGUCUGAGAGGAUGAUCAGCCACACUGGAACUGAGACACGGUCCAGACUCCUACGGGAGGCAGCAGUGGGGAAUAUUGCACAAUGGGCGCAAGCCUGAUGCAGCCAUGCCGCGUGUGUGAAGAAGGCCUUCGGGUUGUAAAGCACUUUCAGUCGUGAGGAAGGUGGUGUAGUUAAUAGCUGCAUUAUUUGACGUUAGCGACAGAAGAAGCACCGGCUAACUCCGUGCCAGCAGCCGCGGUAAUACGGAGGGUGCGAGCGUUAAUCGGAAUUACUGGGCGUAAAGCGCAUGCAGGUGGUUUGUUAAGUCAGAUGUGAAAGCCCGGGGCUCAACCUCGGAACCGCAUUUGAAACUGGCAGGCUAGAGUACUGUAGAGGGGGGUAGAAUUUCAGGUGUAGCGGUGAAAUGCGUAGAGAUCUGAAGGAAUACCGGUGGCGAAGGCGGCCCCCUGGACAGAUACUGACACUCAGAUGCGAAAGCGUGGGGAGCAAACAGGAUUAGAUACCCUGGUAGUCCACGCCGUAAACGAUGUCUACUUGGAGGUUGUGGCCUUGAGCCGUGGCUUUCGGAGCUAACGCGUUAAGUAGACCGCCUGGGGAGUACGGUCGCAAGAUUAAAACUCAAAUGAAUUGACGGGGGCCCGCACAAGCGGUGGA